UAGGGAAUCUUCGGCAAUGGACGAAAGUCUGACCGAGCAACGCCGCGUGAGUGAAGAAGGUUUUCGGAUCGUAAAACUCUGUUGUUAGAGAAGAACAAGGACGUUAGUAACUGAACGUCCCCUGACGGUAUCUAACCAGAAAGCCACGGCUAACUACGUGCCAGCAGCCGCGGUAAUACGUAGGUGGCAGGCGUUGUCCGGAUUUAUUGGGCGUAAAGCGAGCGCAGGCGGUCUGUCAAGUCGGAUGUGAAAUCCCCGGGCUCAACCUGGGAACUGCAUUCGAAACUGGCAGGCUAGAGUCUUGUAGAGGGGGGUAGAAUUCCAGGUGUAGCGAUGAAAUGCGUAGAGAUCUGGAGGAAUACCGGUGGCGAAGGCGGCCCCCUGGACAAAGACUGACGCUCAGGUGCGAAAGCGUGGGGAGCAAACAGG
rnacentral:rRNA from 1 species